CAUGAACUUAACCACUUGGCCUCGGGGCUGGCCCCCCUUUUUUUUUCUUUUUGGUCAUAUUUUUGGUGAUAUUGCUAAGAAAUCUUUGCCUAACCCAAAGUCACAAAAACUUUAUUCUACGAUCACUUUUAGGUGCUUUAUGGUUUUUAGUUUUUUCUCUACUGAAUUGCCUUUGAACGUUUGUUGAAAAUCACUUUUUCAUAUUCAUGGGAGUAUUUCUGGAUGUUCCAUUCUGUGCAAAUGAUUUGUCUACCUUUACACUAAUACCAUUCUCUUUCGAUUACCAGACCUUUAUAAUAAUUCUUGAAAUCAAAUAGCAUUAGCCCUCCAACUUUUUCAAAGUUAUUUUGGUUAUUGUAGGUCAUUUCCAUUUCCAUGUGAAUUUUGGAAACUGCUUGUGAAUUUCUACAAAAAGUCUCCUGGGAUUUUAUUUUGGAUUGCCUUGAAUCUAUAGAUCAAUUUAGGGAGAAUUGACAUCCUAAGAAUACUGAGUAUUCUAACACAUGAAUGUGGUACAUUUCUCUACUUUAGAUCUUUUGAAUUUAUCUCAGCAGUGUUCACUGUACAAGGAAUACAGUCAGGUCUUAAUUUAUGAGCUUAAUUGAAAAUCUUUUAAUAGGUAAGUUAAGUCCAUUCACAUUUAUUGAUAUGAUUGAUCUAUUUGGUCCCAACUCUCAAUUUAUUUUGUAAUUUUUUGUGUGUAUUAUGUCAUAUUUGCUACAUUUAUUUCUUGUGUAUUUUUUGCUCUUUUCCUUUAAAAAUAUUCUUGGUAUUUAGGAAAAUUUGUGGUUUUAUUAAAUGGUAACAUUUGUACUUAUACAUUUUUAAUGCCCUUAGUCACUUAUUUUCUUAUCUAGCCUUUUACUAUUGGUUUUGUCGGUUUCUGUUUCUUUUAUGUCCAAUCCAUUGCCUGUGCAAUAAUAGUCACUGAGCUUAUUCUACUGUGUCCCUUCUCCCAUUUUUAUGUUGCAUUAUUUCUACGUUGUUACAACAUACAAUGUUUACAUAUUUGUCUUCAACUCUUAUUGCCACUCUUGUUUUAAUUUUAGAUCUACAAUAAAGUAUACUAAAAUUUAUCCAUCAAUAAUUUUGGAGUUUUCCAAGUCACAUGAUUGAAUAAAGCUUGUUCUCCAGUUGACUCCUCAAGGACUCAUGAGUACUGAAAUCCCUAAGUUCUUACACGUCUCAAAAUAUUUUUCUAGUCUUGAUACUUGAAGGACAACUGAAUAUUAAAUUGUUGUGUCACACUAUUAUUGAAUUUUUUAAAAAUAAUAUUCCAUUAUAGUUUCCUUUUGUGUGAUGUUUUUGAGAAAAUGGAUACCAGUCUAAUAGAUUUAGUCCUUUUAAGUUAUUUAAUGUUUUUCCUUAGAGGUCUGGAGAACAUUUUUCUUUGUCUUUAAAGUCAAACAGAUUUUCUCACAUGUAUCUCUGAGUUGCUUGUUCCAGGGUAAUUUUCCCGAGUAUCCAUUGAGGCUUUUCUAUAUUCAGAUCUUCUUUUCAUUGUUUUAACUCUCUAAAGUGUUCUUGGAUUAUGGUUUUAAAUAUUAAUUUUGUUUCAGUGUUCUCAUCUCCCAGUAUAUUUUUCCAAGUUUUCACAACUAGGGUAGACUUCCUCCUUCUGUUGGUAGUUUUAUAGCAAUUUUUAGGCUCACUGCUAGCUCCCCUCUUCUCUCUUCUAUGACUUUUUCUCAGACUGUCCUUUCUCACCACAGAGGUUUGCCAUAGGAAGAUUUUGGUGUUUUGUCAUUUUGUGCUUCCAGGUAAUUUCAAGUUUAGGUAUUUUUUGUCUUCUGGUAGUCUUGAGGGCAUAGUUUUUCUAUAAUUUUAUUUGUUUUUCUUGUUCUAUAUUAUUUUGGGAGGUUAUGUUUGGAGACACAGAUUUAAGCAGUUGCCAUUAUCCUCCAUCAGUAGGUUUUCUAAAAAAUAGAAGCAUUUAGAACAGAAAGUAUCAGAAUUCUCAUACUAAGGAUAAGUAUCGUUUUGUGAUAUUUUUGUUUCAGUAUUAUAUAUUUGUGUGUGUAACUAUGUCAUUUGUAAAGUGUAUUCAUUUUUAUAGGUCAUAUUCAAAAUAGUUUAAAGAGCAUUGUACAAGAUCAUUUCCCAGGCCCCUUUCAACUUGUACUGUCAAGGGUUCUGAACCCUCACUCUUUACAGACUUUUUAUUGUUCAGUUUCCCUCUAUCAUAUGUGUCCCAAACAAGCACUGUUUUGUCAGUCAAGUUUGAUGGGAGUACAUUGUGCUGAAUCAGGCAUUUGUUAAAUGCAAAAGCCAAGUCGGAAAAACGUUCAGGGAACUUACUAACUGGGAGGAAACAACUUUAUAAUAAGUUAUACCUCAAGAAUACCUAUGGAAUACCUAUGGAACAUAACUCAUGUGAAAAUGACCCUCUUUUCCUCACUCCCUACAACCCUUCAUGAUAGAAUUUUCUUCACUGGUCUGUAGGGACUGAAAGAAACCCAUGAUUUGGAGCCCUGACACUUUAAUAGUUUCGUUCUACUGCAUUUACCCUACAAAGUAGAAUAACGAUGUCCCAUCAUAAGAGCCUUCCCUUGUUUGGCAGAAGGCCAGUGAUCCAUGGGCAAUGGUGCCAGCCAUAACAAAGGAGGUAGAGAGUGGUAAUACAUCAUUAGACUUCAUGCUAAGAAUGAAGUAACUUAGAUUUCAUAUGGACUGCUAGAUUUUGAAAGGUCAGGAAAAAACGACUGCUUGGACUGCCUGGGUGGUAGAGGAGUGGCCAUGAGAUGCAGAUGGGAGAAGACUAUAGGAAGUAGGUCUUUGAUAAGUGUUUUUAAAUUUCAUAUCUUAAAUAGGCUUGGUUUAAAUCAGUAUUUCUCAACAAGGGGUGUUUUUUGUCCCCCAGGAGACAUUUGACCAUGUCAGGAGACUUUGGUUUUCACAGUUAGCAUGGGAAGGGGUACAGAGGGAGGAAGGAGCUACUGGCGUCUAGUGGGUAGAGGCCAAGGAUGCUGCUAUACACAUUACAAUGGACAGGAUAGCCUCACAACAAAAUCAUUCAGCCCAAAAUGUCAAUAGUGCUGAAGUUGAGAGACCCUUGUUAAAAAUGAAGGAUACUGACAAGGAAUGGGAGUAGGAAUGAAAUACAUGUUUUCUUGGUUGAAAUUCCAUUACAUUUCUAGGUUAGCUUUUCAAAUGUGCUAUCUGAUCUGUGGGCUGCAUUCUUUUGACCAGGAAAUAAAAGGCCAAGAGUGUCAUCCUUUGAUUCAAGUCCCCAUCCUGUUAUUAAAUUUAAUACCCCACAAAGGUUUCCUGUGGGAAGUUGGUUUUCUUAAUCGGGUAGAUUAAAAAAAAAAGAUCAACAGUUCUGACCACUCAUGCUUCCUAGAGCUCAGACAUUUCCUUUGGAUCUUGGAGGUGCCUUGGUAGCAGAGGGAGCCCCAUGUUGCCCUCUUUUGGCAACAGCUGCCUGUGUGCAUUAGUGCCAGCCCUAACAGGUGCAUCUGGAAGUACCUUUUAUUUCUCAGAUCCUCAGUCUGCCUUUACCUUGCUGGUGGACUGAACUUAGUGUUUCUCUGAGCACACCACUGGGCACUGAUCAUUUCAAGUGGCCUGGAUGCCUGAAUCCACUUCUGGAUACUGACAGUACAGGUCAGUUUCUUCAGACGCCUCCUGCCCUGGUGCUGCUUUCUGAAGUUAGACACUGACUCUCUGUACUCAGAUUACUCUUUCAGUAUGUGCCAGUGGACAAGAAUGUCAGAACUCUUCCUUCAAUAUACAUUUCCUAAGUAACCUCAGUUCAUAUAUCAAGUAAAUAUUUGCUAGUGACCCUGGGUACAGUUAGAAUGUAAAAACAAUUUAAAACAUAGGGAGUGAAACACUCACAAUUUCAGUUUUUUUCUUAUAUCUAGGAGCUGUCUGUAAGCAUAUUCUUGUAGGAACAGAUAGCUUCAUUUUCAUUCAGAUUUGCUGUUUAUAUAAUCAGAACAGGAAAGAACGCCAAGGAUAAGGGCAAGAGACACUUAUGUGUAAGAGAAGCCCACUCCUUCUCACUCUUACCACAUAGCAUUCCUCUUUCAACUGAGCCCUGAGCCGUGAGUUUAGAAACAGAAACUCGGACACGUUUCCAGAGACCACCAGGCUGGUCAGUGCUCAAAGGUAGGACGGAUGAGUGUCAGGCCAGUAGAGGUAAGGCACAUUUUUCUUCAACAAAUACAAAGUGUUAAUUGUGCCAGGUCCUGUCUCUAGUUGCUAUAUAUAUAUAAAAAGUCUGGUAAUGUCAGCAAAGAACCCUAUAAGGAAAAUAUCUGAAUUUUAUAGAUAGAAUUGAGUCCACGCUCAUAACCACCAGUAGAUAGAACUGAGUCCACGCUCAUAACCACUACCAAUACUGGAGAUCGGCCUGUAGGCAGAUAAGGCGAUCAAAGUGCCUCCUUCAGCAAGGAAAUGGAAAUCCAGGUUGGAGAGCGGGUCCAUUCCGUCUGUGAGCCCCAUCCAGCCAAGGCUCUUCAGUCUUCUCAAGAGCAACCACGGCGUUUGGGGAUCCUAGAGUGGACCCGGAAGUGCAUCCGGGAUGAGAGAAGCGCCAGUACCCGCGGGAGUCGAAUUUGUGAAAACCUCGAGCUUCAGUGGUUUGCGGCGCAAGGGAUCAGAGUGUCCGGUGAGGAUGGUUGGAGGCCACUGUUGCGCUCCUCCCCUCGGAGUCAUCCUCGAGACCCCAGGUCUUAGAACUUGGACUGGAACUACACCACUGGCUCUCCUGGGUCUCCAGCUUGCCAACUGCAGAUCUUGGGACUUCUCAGACUCCAUAUUCAUGUGAGCCAAUUCCUUAUAACUCUCUCCAUAUAUACAUCCUAUCGGUUCUGUUUCUCUAGACAACACUAAUACAAGUAUGUUCAGGAUGUUUGGAAAGCAUGUAACGCAUUUUUAUGGGUUUAAGAAUUCAAACAAAAUAAAUAACCAUAUAGUUUAUGACUGUAAUACAAAUAACUCACAUUAGGAUUUGUUAGAUUUCUGUCCCCUAGAUCCCUGAAACCUUUGAAGUACAAGCCUUGGAAAGUGACAUAAAAACGGCAACUUGGAUAGAUCUGCAAAGAAUUUUAAAUAAGCAGGAAAUAUAUCACAAUGGAGAAACCAUUAAUUGUGAAGGGUGACCAGAAAACCUUGCUAUAUAUGAAUUCCAGAGUCUUAGAAUGAAAUAUUGUAAAUAGGGAAGAGACUGCUGGUGCCAGAAACCAAGGGAGAAGUGUGAGCAGAUGCAAAAAAAAAAAGCAUAUUUCUAUAAUAAAGAGAAGUGAUACACUAACAAAAAAAUUUUUAGGAAAAUGGUCAUCUUGAAAUGCUUUUGCAGAGGCAACUCCAUUUAAAAUAUAUGUAAUAAAUUCUUUGUUAUAAUGCUAACUAGAAAAAAAUUUCUCGCAAAUUCAAGACUGCAAUUUUGACUAUCAUGAAGAAGAAAAAGAUGGUCUACAAGGUGUGUUUAAAGAAAAGUAGAUAGCUUGAGGAGUUAACUUAAUGGUUAAAAUUCUCACCAUGAAUAAUGGACGGAAUGGUACCACACAGCUGGUUUGGGAAUCAAUAUAUAAGAAGAGCAAGACAGUCACACACCAAUAAUGGAGUUUUGAAACUGUAAGUGCUAUUUGUUUAAAAUAUUUGGUGUGAAUCCACUGACUGCAGCAUGUUUGAGGUUAGCAGGCAUAAGACUUGAUGCACAGUCUACUAUACACUUGGGCGUGGGGAGAGUUUGUGGGCAAGAGAGUAUCUGUAGCUAUUUCAGAGAGCAUUUGGUUAGGCCCAAGAGAACUAAAAGGUGAGAACCAAGAUGCUGAGCAUUAGAGACUUUAUUAUUUUAUUCUGACUUGGUAACUGAUUUUCACGCUGCCUGAAUAGGAACAUUUUCUCCCUAAAGAGUGACAAAAUUAAUAUCAGGGAAACAGUAACAAAACAAUGGAAUUUCAUGAUUGGCACAUAUUCACAACGAUUUAAUGAUAAAGAAGCUGUUUAAGGCAUUCACACUAGAAUUCCUAGUCUGGUAAAGAAAUCUGGAUUCUCUCCAUCACAGUAACCCAACCCUCAACCCUUCUCUGCCAAUCCUAUGUGCUGGGCAAAAAUGCACUAGAUGAACUCAGAAUCUAGAUCCUCAGAAUUAGACACAAGCACAAAUGGUUUUGGUGAGAAAUUCCUCAGAAAUCUAGACGACAUCAGACUUUCAGAAUUAUACAGGUAAUCUCACUGGUACAUUUAAUAAAUGUUUAUUAGCACCUGUGUACAAGGCACAGUGGGGAGCGUAAGACUUCACGAAUCUGACCAACCAUGGAGGAUUCAUUAUAGCAAAACGAACAGUCAGAGCAGCAGUCCCCAAAUCACAGCCUUCCACCCAGGAAACAUCAAAAUGUGCUGGCUGAGGGUGAGGAGCCAGGCUGGAAGCCCUUUUAAGUCCAAUAGGUGAGAACAAACCAUUU